rnacentral:rRNA from 1 species
UACAGAGGUCCCGAGCGUUGUUCGGAUUCACUGGGCGUAAAGGGUGCGUAGGUGGCCAUGAAAGUUCGAUGUGAAAUCUCCGGGCUUAACCCGGAAAAGGCAUUGAAAACUCUGUGGCUGGAGGUUUGGAGGGGGGACUGGAAUUCUCGGUGUAGCAGUGAAAUGCGUAGAUAUCGAGAGGAACACCAGUGGCGAAGGCGAGUCCCUGGACAACACCUGACACUGAGGCACGAAAGCCGGGGGAGCAAACAGG